AUUGAACGCUGGCGGCAGGCCUAACACAUGCAAGUCGAACGAGUGGCGGACGGGUGAGUAAUGUCUGGGAAACUGCCUGAUGGAGGGGGAUAACUACUGGAAACGGUAGCUAAUACCGCAUACCAUCAGAUGUGCCCAGAUGGGAUUAGCUAGUUGGUGGGGUAACGGCCUACCAAGGCGACGAUCCCUAACUGGUCUGAGAGGAUGAUCAGCCACACUGGAACGGAGACACGGUCCAGACUCCUACGGGAGGCAGCAGUGGGGAAUAUUGGACAAUGGGCGAAAGCCUGAUGCAGCCAUGCCGCGUGUGUGAAGAAGGCCUUCGGAUUGUAAAGCACUUUCAGGGGGGAGGCGUUACCAACAGAAGAAGCACCGGCUAACUCCGUGCCAGCAGCCGCGGUAAUAC
rnacentral:rRNA from 1 species